CAGAGCCUAGCAACAGCUGAGAAGAUGAUGUGUGGGCUCUCAUAGGAUUGUUACAAGAGCCAAACCUAGAAUUGGGGCCUCAGAGCGGUGAUAAGGCAGAACAAGGGGAUUCAAGUAUCUUGCAAAGGCUUUAUUUGAAAAUUUUUAAACUUACAUCCCACAAGAAUUCAAGAUUAUCACCACAAGAAGAAAGAGAUAAUACAAAAAUAUAUAUCACAGCAUAGGAGCCAGGUAAGAGGGGAAGAAGGUAGAUGGAAAAACUGGUGGAAGUAGGGAAGGACCUGAGGAGAGGGAGAGGGCAGAAGGUAAAAGGAGAAGAAUGAAGGAGGGAGGAAAGGAGAGGAAAGGGUAGAUGUGGAGGCAGAGCUCCGGAUGGCCUUGAACCAGCUGGCUCCAGUCCCUGGCAGCCUAGGUGGAGUGAGGGAGGCCCUAUGAGAGGCUGGGAAGUGGAGAACUGGCUCUGGGGCUCUGAAUUCCAGAGAGGCAUGUGCGCGCGCGCGCGC